UACUUUGGUCCUUUUUGGGCUGAAGGUCAGCUGUGGGUCAGUAUUUCCUAGGAAAGGAAAGGAGAGUUGAACCAGCAGCUCUGUCAUCAUGUUCCACAUAUAUUUGAUUUGUCUCACUUUUACUUUGUUUGAGGGAUCCCAUGGGCAGAUUGUCGUGACUCAGACUCCAUCAUCAUUCCAGGCAAAUCCUGGGGACACUGUGACCAUCCGAUGCCAAACUUCCUCAUCUGUCAAUAAUUACAUGCACCUGUAUCAGUUUAAAGAAGGAGAAACCCCCAAGCUGCUUAUUUAUUAUGCUAGUACCCGUUUUGAAGGGACCCCAGAUCGUUUUAGUGGCAGCGGCAGUGGCACUGAGUUCUUCUUCACUAUCAGGGGGGUACGUGCUGAGGAUGAAGGGAA